UUAAGGGCGAAAGGGCACAUGGUGGAUGCCUUGGCACCAAAUGAUGAAGAAGGACGUGGUUAACUGCGAAAAGCUUCGGAGAGCUGUAAGCAAGCUUAGACCCGGAGAUAUCCGAAUGGGGCAACCCGGCUCUGUUAGAACAGAGUCAUUCUGAGAUAGAAUACAUAUAUUUCAGGAGAUCAACCCGCUGAACUGAAACAUCUAAGUAAGCGGAGGAAGAGAAAGUAAUAACGAUUUCCUUAGUAGCGGCGAGCGGACGGGAAAGAGCCUAAACCCAUUUAUAUGGGGGUAGUGGGACUCGAGUUAUCGAUUAGUACAAUAUAGACGAACACGGUUGGGAAGCCGGAUCGGAGAGGGUGAUAAUCCCGUAGUUGAAAUAUUGUAUUAAUUGUAUUGAGUAUCCCGAGUAGGCCGGGGCACGUGGAACCCUGGUUGAAUCAGCGAGGACCAUCUCGUAAGGCUAAAUACAUUUGGUGACCGAUAGUGAAUUAGUACCGUGAGGGAAAGGUGAAAAGCACCCCGGGAGGGGAGUGAAAUAGAACCUGAAACCGUGUGCUUACAAUCAGUCGGAGCCUGCAUUUAUGUGGGUGACGGCGUGCCUUUUGCAUAAUGAGCCGGUGAGUUAAUGUUAUCAGCAGGUUAAGUGAUACAGUCAUGUAGCCAUAGCGAAAGCGAGUUUUAAUAGAGCGACUUUGUUGAUAGUAUUAGACCCGAAGCCUAGUGAUCUACCCAUGUCCAGGUUGAAGUCACGGUAACACGUGAUGGAGGACCGCACCAGGAAGCGUUGAAAAGCUUUUGGAUGAGGUGUGGGUAGGGGUGAAAGGCCAAUCAAACUAGGAGAUAUCUGGUUCUCUCCGAAAACUGUUUAGGCAGUGCCUUAGAUAAGAGUUAUGGAGGUAGAGCACUGAAUGGGCUAGGGGGCAUACCAGCCUACUGAACCCAACCAAACUCCGAAUGCCAUAACUUAAUGUCUAGGAGACAGCGUGCGUGGGAUAAGCUUCGUACGCGAGAGGGGAACAACCCAGACCGACGGCUAAGGUCCCUAAAUAUAUGCUUAGUGAGGAAGGAUGUUUUAUUGCCAAGACAGCCAGGAUGUUGGCUUAGAAGCAGCCACCAUUUAAAGAGUGCGUAAUAGCUCACUGGUCAAGUGGUAAUGCACCGAAGAUGAUCGGGACUUAAGCAUAUUACCGAAGCCUCGGAUCCCAUAUUUAUAUGGGAUGGUAGGAGAGCAUUCCAGUCAGCGAUGAAGGAGAGCUGUAAGGCGAUCUGGAGCGUCUGGAAGAGACCAUGCCGGCAUGAGUAGCGAUAAUGUAAGUGAGAAACUUACACACCGCAAGCCUAAGGUUUCCUGAGUAAAGAUAAUCUUCUCAGGGUAAGUCUGCCCCUAAGGCGAGUCAAGCGAGCUUGAGUAGCUGAUGGGAAUCUGGUUAAUAUUCCAGAACUUGCUAUAGUUAGAGAUGGAGUGACGCAAUGGUGCUCCGGAGACGGGUGUUGGACGUCCCGUUGAACACGUGUAGAUUAGUGUAUAGGCAAAUCCGUACACUUUUAUUCGAGGCGUGGGACGAGAGCUUUAAGCUCAAAAGUCCGGUUAUAUACGUUGCCAAGAAAUAACUUCUAAUUGUUUGAAGCUAUAGCGAACAGUACCGCAAACCGACACAGGUAGGCGAGGAGAGUAUCCUAAGGUGUUCGAGAGAAUUCUGGUUAAGGAACUCGGCAAAAUGACCCCGUAACUUCGGGAGAAGGGGUGCCCCGUUAUCGUGAUAGUCUUUCGGCUUGAGCGAGAGGGGGCCGCAGUGAAGAGGUCCAAGCGACUGUUUAUCAAAAACACAGGUCUAUGCGAAGACGCAAGUCACGGUAUAUAGACUGACACCUGCCCGGUGCUGGAAGGUUAAGUGGAAGAGUUAGCUUUAUGCGAAGCUCAGAAAUUAAGCCCCAGUAAACGGCGGCCGUAACUAUAACGGUCCUAAGGUAGCGAAAUUCCUUGUCGGGUAAGUUCCGACCUGCACGAAUGGUGUAACCAGGAGCUCGGUGAAAUUGUAGUGGCGGUGAAGAUGCCGCCCACCCGCGAACGGACGGAAAGACCCCGUGAACCUUUACUGCAUCUUGACAUUGUAAUUUGGUUCAGUAUGUGUAGGAUAGGUGGGAGGCUAUGAAGCUGGUACGCUAGUAUCGGUGGAGCCAAUCUUGAAAUACCACCCUUAUUGUAUUGACUUACUAACGUGUACCGUGAUCCGGUAUGCGAACAUUGUCUGGAGGGCAGUUUGACUGGGGCGGUCGCCUCCUAAAAAGUAACGGAGGCUCACAAAGGUUCCCUCAGGCUGGUUGGUAAUCAGCCGUAGAGCGUAAAGGUAUAAGGGAGCUUAACUGCGAGACUGACGGGUCGAGCAGAUGCGAAAGCAGGUCUUAGUGAUCCGGCUACUCUGAAUGGAAGGGUAGUUGCUCAAAGGAUAAAAGGUACUCCGGGGAUAACAGGCUGAUACCGCCUAAGAGUUCACAUCGACGGCGGUGUUUGGCACCUCGAUGUCGGCUCAACUCAUCCUGGGGCUGAAGACGGUCCCAAGGGUUCGGCUGUUCGCCGAUUAAAGAGUUACGCGAGCUGGGUUCAGAACGUCGUGAGACAGUUCGGUCCCUAUCCUUCGUGGGCGCAGGAAAUUUGAGGGGAUCUGCAUUUAGUACGAGAGGACCGGUGCGGACAAACCUCUGGUGUAUCGGUUGUAACGCCAGUUGCAUUGCCGAGUAGCUAAGUUUGGAAUGGAUAACCGCUGAAAGCAUCUAAGCGGGAAGCCAACCUCAAGAUAGAUUUCCCCAUUAGAUACGUUGGAGACUACAACGUUGAUAGGUCACAGGUGUAAGCACAGCGAUGUGUUCAGCCGAGUGAUACUAAUAUGUCAAUUGCCUUAAUAUU
rnacentral:rRNA from 1 species